rnacentral:lncRNA from 1 species
AGACUGUUGUUUAAAUGGUAUAUUUGAAAGCUGUCAAGUGAAAUAUGCAUAGAAAUAGUCUAUUGAAUCAAGGUAUCGAGGCAUGAUGGAAUUCGAUAUAGGCGCACUUACAACGGUACACAAAUAGCAUGGGUUGAGAUGUUAUAUAAUAAAAAAGAAGGUUGAAAUGGUGUGAUCAAAGGGAGUUCAGUGAGAAACAAAGAAUGAUGUGCUAUUCAACAAAAUUAUGGAUGCGUGUUGAAAUUUGGUUUUGUAAAUGUGCUUUAUACAGUGAAGAAGUAGCAUGGCUAGGUGAGGGAGAACUGUUCAAGCGGUAUGGUCUCGCAUUUUUGGCCAGUGUACGAAGAGGUCGCAUGGAUUGAGAUUUCAUAUAUAAAAAUGAAAGCUUUUGAAGUGGUGUGAUAAAAAGGAGUUGAAUGAGCUACAAAUAAUAAUAUGCCAAUUAACCAAGUUAUAGAAGAAUAGUGAAAAUUUAUACGAACGUACUUACGGUGGUAUUCAAAGAAGCUGCAUUUGUCGUGAUGGUAUGUAAAUAGAGUAAUAUGUUGGCCGUAAUAGUAUGGUUGAUAGGAGUUAAAUGAAAAACGUGUAAUGACACACUAUUGUACGAGGAUAUCAAAGCAUGUUGAAAAUAUAUUUGACAGGCGUACUUUGGGGUUGAGCGAAGUCUGAUUGUUCGAGAUGGUAUAUACGUAAAGAAAGACUCUUGUUUAAACGGUAUGGUUGAAAGCUAUCAAAUUAAAUAUGCAUUGAAAUAUGAAAUAGUCUAUUGAAUCAAGGAAUGAUGGAAGUUGGGAUGGGCGCAUUUACAACGGGGGUACACCAAGAAGUAGCAUGGGUCGAGAUGGUAUAUAUAAAAAUAAAAGCUUUUGAAGUGGUGUGAUCAAAAGGAGUUCAGUGAGAUACAAAUACUGAUCUGUCAUUUAACCAAGUUAUAGAAGCAUAGUGAAAAUUGUUUAUAUGGACGUACUUAUAGUGGUAUUUCAGGAAGGUCCAUAUGUCCUGAUGGCACAUAAAUAGCAAUGAACACUGGCUGUACGUGUAUGGUUUGAAGGAGUUGAUGUACGAGUAACGAUACGCUAUUGAACCAAGUAAUCGAAGCACGGUGGAAAUUGAUGGACGCAUUUACAAUGGCAGUCAACGUAGGACACAGUGGUGAGACAGUAAAUUAUUGCAGUUUUUGGAAUGGUGUGCUCGAAAAGGGAGUUUAAUGAAAUAGGAGUAAUGACACACUAUUGUAACAAGGAUAUCUAAGCGUGGUGGAAAUAUAUUUGAUAGGCAUACCUGCAGCGGUAUUCAACCAAGUGUAGUGUUGGUCGAGACUGUUUAUAAAUAACUAUAUAUUGUGUGUGAAAUUUAUCCUUGUAAAUCGAUAAGCGCGUUGUUCAAUCGAAAUAUCAUUGUAUACCUGAAGUUUGUUUCAUAGACGUGGCUAUAUGGUAUUUGAAAAAAAAAAACUGAACUAUAUAUAUAUAUAUAUAUAUAUAUAUAUAUAUAUAUAUAUAUAUAUAUAAUUAAUGAAAAAGAGUGGUUGAAAUGAUAAAGUUGAAAUCAGUACAAUGAGCAGUCAAUAACGAGAGCUAUUUAUCCAGAAUAUCGCAGUAUACGAGAAAUUGGCUUCAAGACAUACGUAUAUUGGUGUUUGCUAAAAUAGGAUGGGUCGAGAUGUAUAUCAAUAAUAAUAUUGAUACGCUAUUGAACCAAUAGAUCGAAGUGUGGUGGAAAUCAAUUUUACAGGCAUACUUACAUUCGUAUUCAAUCAACUUGCAUGGGUUGAGAUGGUAUAUAGAUAUUAAACUGUGAUGAAAUUCAUGUAACUCAUGUCAGUAUUUGUAAAAGGAGGAUGGGUUGAGAUGUAUGUAACAAACAGUAUUUGAAAUGAUGCGGUUAAAAUUAGUACAGUGAAAUGUGAAUAAUGAAGCACUUUUGAACCGAAAUAUUGCAGUAUACCCGAGGUUGAUUUUUUAUAAAGACUCGCAUAUAAUGGUAUUUUAAAAGUAGGGUGGGUCGAAAUGUAUAUAAAC